CCGUAAAAAAUCUAAUUACACUUAAACCGCCAGGGAACUACGAGCUUUAGCUUAAAACCCAAAGGACUUGACGGUGUCCCACCCAACUAGAGGAGCCUGUCCUAUAAUCGAUAAUCCACGAUUUACCUAACCUUUUUUUGCUUUAUCAGCCUGUACACCUCCGUCGUAAGCCUACCAUAUGAAUGAAAAAUAGUAGACUCAAGGAUUUUACAUCAUAAUGACAGGUCAAGGUGCAGCUUACAAAAUGGUAGAGAUGAGCUACAAUUUCUAAAUUAGAACACACGAAAUACUGCAUGAAACACAGUUAUGAAGGUGGAUUUAGUAGUAAGUGAGGAAUAGAGAGCCCCACUUAAAUCGGCCCUGGGACGUGUACAAACCGCCCGUCGCCCUCUUCAAUAGCCUUUACAUUAGUCUAUAACAUAAUAAUGCGUUUUAGAAGAGGUAAGUCGUAACAUGGUAAGUAUACUGGAAAGUGUACUUGGAACAA
rnacentral:rRNA from 1 species